AGAGUUUGAUCAUGGCUCAGGAUGAACGCUAGCGGCAGGCCUAAUACAUGCAAGUCGAACGGGUCGCAAGACUAGUGGCGCACGGGUGCGUAACACGUAGGUAACCUACCUUUUACUGGGGCAUAACGAUGGGAAACCAUCGCUAAUACCGCAUAAGACAGUAGCCUGGCAUCAGGCAGUUGUUAAAGAUUUAUUGGUAAAAGAUGGGCCUGCGGCUGAUUAGCUAGUUGGUGGUGUAACGGACCACCAAGGCCAUGAUCAGUAGGGGUUCUGAGAGGAAGAUCCCCCACACUGGCACUGAGAUACGGGCCAGACUCCUACGGGAGGCAGCAGUAGGGAAUAUUGGGCAAUGGCGGAAACGCUGACCCAGCCAUGCCGCGUGCAGGAAGAAGGCGCUCAGCGUUGUAAACUGCUUUUGCCAGGGAAGAAUGAGCUCUACGGGUAGAGUCAGUGACGGUACCUGGUGAAUAAGCACCGGCUAACUCCGUGCCAGCAGCCGCGGUAAUACGGAGGGUGCAAGCGUUGUCCGGAUUUAUUGGGUUUAAAGGGUGCGUAGGUGGCUUGUUAAGUCUGGGGUGAAAGGCAGUGGCUCAACCACUAGCAGGGCCCUGGAUACUGGCAGGCUCGAGUGCGCGUGAGGCCGGUGGAACGGGUGGUGUAGCGGUGAAAUGCAUAGAUACCAUCCAGAACACCGAUUGCGGAGGCAGCCGGCUAACGCGCAACUGACACUGAGGCACGAAAGCGUGGGGAGCAAACAGGAUUAGAUACCCUAGUAGUCC
rnacentral:rRNA from 1 species